rnacentral:rRNA from 1 species
CUACGGGUCGCAGCAGUGGGGAAUAUUGCACAAUGGAGGAAACUCUGAUGCAGCAACGCCGCGUGGAGGAUGACACUUUUCGGAGCGUAAACUCCUUUUAUAUAGGAAGAAGAUGACGGUACUAUAUGAAUAAGCGCCGGCUAACUCCGUGCCAGCAGCCGCGGUAAUACGGAGGGCGCAAGCGUUACUCGGAAUCACUGGGCGUAAAGAGCGUGUAGGCGGAUUAAAAAGUCAGAAGUGAAAUCCUAUAGCUUAACUAUAGAACUGCUUCUGAAACUCUUAAUCUAGGAUAUGGGAGAGGUAGAUGGAAUUUCUGGUGUAGGGGUAAAAUCCGUAGAGAUCAGAAGGAAUACCGAUUGCGAAGGCGAUCUACUAGAACAUUAUUGACGCUGAGACGCGAAAGCGUGGGGAGCAAACAGGAUUAGAUACCCCUGUAGUC